ensembl:lncRNA
AGAGACAUCUUGACAAUAUAAAAACAUAGGCUGACACCUGGAUCUUAAUGCUGAAGAACCAACUUGCUGUUGGGAGGCUGAGUCGGUGGUGAUUUUUAACGUCCUUGCCCCUUGCCCCACCCCUUUCUUUUCCACACUGUCUCCAGCACAACAGCCACUGUUAGACUGGAAAGGAAAUCUAGCUUUGUGAUUGGCUCAUGGUCCUGUCAAUCUGGAUCUGAAAUGUGUUGCUAGGUGAAGAUUCCAACUGCCUGGACAGAGGGCCAGGUAGGGGAUUAGAGGUACCUGGCUUUGGGUGAGACUUGAGUAGGUGCAGAAAUCCCAGAAUAAGAAUGGUUCUAAAAAACAACAAGAAUGGUCCUCAGUAUUUGAGUUUCUUCUCUGAAAAACACCCUGCUACUUACACCAAGGAAAUUAAUGCGGCUAAGGAAAACACACGACGGUGUAUUCAUCUCCUGUCUUUACAACAACCACCAACAGUAGCCAAUUCAGCUUAUAGUGUUGCUUCUCUGUGAUAGGCAAUGAGUUUGGACCCUUUUUGUCCUAAGGAAGAAAAGUGGCUAAGAGCAGAAUACCUGGAGCUGGCCCACUUCCACUGGAAUAUGGACUCCAGUGCUUAUAACUUUGGAUAAGGUACUUAAUUUUUCUGAAUGUCAGUGUCAUUAUCUGUAAAAUGGAGACGGUGGUAUUAUCUACCUCACAGGAUUAUUGGAAGAAUUGAAUGAGUCAAUGUAAGAAGGUACUAGAAAAUUGCCUGUCAAUAAGCACCAUAUGCAUGUUAGCUAAAAUCCUUCCAACAGGAGAAUGCUUAUGAUAGCUAUUGAUUUGUAUUGUUUUGUUCAAAUGACUUUUUGAAUUCUAAGAUGACCAAGAUUAAAAUGUUGUCCUUAUGUAAUUUGCAUGAAGAAGUUGUUCAUUAGAAUCACCCUGCGGGGCCUGCACUAUUUUCUAACCCUUGUUGCUCUAGGCCAGACCAGGGUUCAAGAAGCAGGUUGAGAGUGCUCAUAAACCUGAGUGAUACUGCUGGCCAAUGAAUGUGAAACUAAUUACCUCAUGUGCCUGACUUUCCUAAAUUGGUCUUGUGGAAGAACGUAGGUUUAGAGUGCAAAGACAGUUUCUCUCAGCAUUUAUGGAAUGCAAUGAAACUAGAGAGUAAAUUUACCAACAUUUGUUUAUCUGACAACAUCAACAGGCUAAAUAUCUGGAUAUCUUAAAUCUCAGAUGAGUGUCUUAGCCUCUGGAAUACUGCCCAAUGAGGAAACCUAUGAAAUGUAUGGAUAACUUGUUAAUCAAUAUUUGCCACAUGUGCUGGCAGCAUCAGUAUCAGUUGGGAGCUUAUGGUGACCUCCAUGUCAGACCUCCUGAAUCAGAAUAUCAGAGAAGGGGGCCCAGGCAAGUGUGCUUUACUAAGUUCUUCAGAAGAUAAGUUUGAGAAGCAUUGUCUUAGGGUACAUAAGCAUGAAGCUAGACUAGCAGAAACUCUACAUUGACUAACUGUAUGAUGGUGAGAAAGUUGCUUACCUCUUUUUAGCUUCUCUUUCUUCUUCUGUAUCAUAUGUUUGUUGUGAAGAUCAAACUUUUAGUACAUUGCAAGUGCAUGGAACUUAACAAAAACUCAGUAGACAUUAUUAUUAUUAUUGCCAAUAUUGAUGUUGCUGAUUUUUAGGUCUUACCAUCUACAGCAUGUUGCUGGCUGGUGAAAUGACUCCUCUCCUGAGGGUGUAAUAUGCAUUAACAAUUUCUUCUUGUACAUUUGGUGAUUCAAUGUUUGUUAUUUAAGUGGUGAAAUUGUUUACUACAUUUAUUAAAUAUUUAAAUGGUAAAUACUACAACUGCAAGGAAACAAUGGAUAAAA